CAGGGAAGUUUUCAUUGUUUAUUCUCUCCACCGUUUUACUUUCUUCCACCAAAAUCAAGCCACUCCAUCAUUUCCCAUUAAAAUAAUCUCCCACUUCCAUUCACCAGAGGAGCUUUUUCUUUGUUUAUUCUAUGAUUUCCAUUAUUUAAUCCACCACUACAUCCCAUCUUCAUCAUUUACAUACUCCACCACACCAACAUUUCCAUCAUCCAUCCAUUAUAAAAUUUCUUUUCCACCUCCAUCACUUCCCUUCUUCCAUUAAAAUAUUCAUCCCAUUCUCUUUUCCACAUAUUCCUCCAUAGAAGUCCCAC
rnacentral:lncRNA from 1 species